UACGUAGGGGGCUAGCGUUGUUCGGAAUCAUUGGGCGUAAAGCGAGUGUAGGCGGAUAUGCAAGCAAGAGGUGAAAGCCCAGGGCUUAACCUUGGAACUGCCUUUUGAACUGUAUAUCUGGAGUUUUGGAGAGGAGUGUGGAAUUCCUAAUGUAGAGGUGAAAUUCGUAGAGAUUAGGAGGAACACCGGUGGCGAAGGCGGCACUCUGGACAAAUACUGACGCUGAGACGCGAAAGCGUGGGGAGUAAACAGG
rnacentral:rRNA from 1 species